rnacentral:rRNA from 1 species
GAACGCCCCGCAAGGGGAGUGACAGACGGGUGAGUAACACGUGGGAACGUCCCCCUCGGUUCGGAAUAACUCAGGGAAACUUGAGCUAAUACCGGAUACGUCCGAGAGGAGAAAGAUUUAUCGCCGCGGGAUCGGCCCGCGUCUGAUUAGCUAGUUGGUGAGGUAACGGCUCACCAAGGCGACGAUCAGUAGCUGGUCUGAGAGGAUGACCAGCCACACUGGGACUGAGACACGGCCCAUACUCCUACGGGAGGCAGCAGUGGGGAAUCUUGGACAAUGGGCGCAAGCCUGAUCCAGCCAUGCCGCGUGAGUGAUGAAGGCCUUAGGGUUGUAAAGCUCUUUCGACGGGGACGAUAAUGACGGUACCCGUAGAAGAAGCCCCGGCUAACUUCGUGCCAGCAGCCGCGGUAAU